AACAUAUCCGGUGGACAUUUCCUUGUCAACUCCUUAAACCUCUCCCAUACCUCAUAGAGUGUUUCACCAUCCUGCUGUCUGAAAGUUUUCACCUCAGCUCUUAACCU